rnacentral:rRNA from 1 species
AAUGAACGCUGGCGGCGUGCUUAACACAUGCAAGUCGAACGAGAAAGUACCUUCGGGUGCGAGUAGAGUGGCGCACGGGUGAGUAACACGUAGAUAACCUACCCAUUGAUGGGGGAUAACCAGGAGAAAUUCUGGCUAAUACCGCAUAAGUUGGUAACAAGAAAGGAUGCUUCGGCAUUCGUCGAUGGAUGGGUCUGCGGGACAUUAGUUUGAUGGUGGGGUAAUGGCCUACCAUGACUGCGAUGUCUAGCUGGUCUGAGAGGAUGAUCAGCCACACUGGAACUGAGACACGGUCCAGACUCCUACGGGAGGCAGCAGUGGGGAAUAUUGCGCAAUGGGGGAAACCCUGACGCAGCAACGCCGCGUGAGUGAGGAAGGCCUUCGGGUUGUAAAGCUCUGUCAGAUGGGAAGAACGGUCAUUGGUCUAAUAGGCCUUUGAUUUGACGGUACCAUCAAAGGAAGCACCGGCUAACUUCG